CCGCUAAUACCCCAUAUGCCGAGAGGUGAAACGAAUUUCGCCUGAGGAUGAGCCCGCGUCUGAUUAGCUAGUUGGUGAGGUAAAGGCCUACCAAGGCAUCGAUCAGUAGCUGGUCUGAGAGGAUGAUCAGCCACACUGGGACUGAGACACGGCCCAGACUCCUACGGGAGGCAGCAGUGGGGAAUUUUCCGCAAUGGGCGCAAGCCUGACGGAGCAACGCCGCGUGAGGGAUGAAGGCCUCUGGGCUGUAAACCUCUUUUCUCAAGGAAGAAGAACUGACGGUACUUGAGGAAUAASCCACGGCUAAUUCCGUGCCAGCAGCCGCGGUAAUACGGGAGUGGCAAGCGUUAUCCGGAAUUAUUGGGCGUAAGGCGUCCGCAGGCGGCCUUGAAAGUCUGUCGUUAAAGCGUGGAGCUUAACUCCAUUUCGGCGGUGGAAACUACAAGGCUUGAGUGUGGUAGGGGCAGAGGGAAUUCCCGGUGUASCGGUGAAAUGCGUAGAUAUCGGGAAGAACACCAGUGGCGAAGGCGCUCUGCUGGGCCAUAACUGACGCUCAUGGACGAAAGCUAGGGGAGCGAAAGGGAUUAGAUACCCCUGUAGUC
rnacentral:rRNA from 1 species